rnacentral:lncRNA from 1 species
AUCGUGAAACCAAGAACUCAAAGGUGAUCACAAGAACACGAAGGUUUAGACAGGUUCGAGCCUCCAAAGAGUAAUACCCUACAUCCUAUGUUUUGCUGGAUUGUAUUGCUUUGCGUGGGUGCGAAGUAUAGAUUGGAUUGGAUGGAUUGCCCUCGGGAGGCACCCUUAGCCACCUUAUGUAGGCUGACAACCUAGGGUUACAAGUCGGUUAGAAUCUAAUCCUAGUCGAUUUUUACGUGGAAAACAUUCUGAGUUGGAUUACAGCAAGUAUCCCACAAUAUCCG